rnacentral:lncRNA from 1 species
AUGCUUUCAAAUCCAGCAGGAAGCUCAGUGGUCAGCACCAACACCAUCACCACCAACACCAUCACCAUCAACACCAUCACCAUUACCAUCAACACCAUCACCAUCACCAUCAACACCAUCACCACCGACAUCAUCACCAUCAACACCAUCACCACCGACAUCAUUACCACCGACACCAUCACCAUCUCCACCAUCAACACCAACACCACUGACACCAUCACCACCGACACCAUCACCACCGACACCAUCACCACCAACACCAUCACCACCAACAUCAUCACCAUCAACACCGUCACCACCGACAUCAUCACCACCACCACCACCGACACAUCACCAUCACCGACAUCAUCACCACCAACACCACCGACACCACCGACAUCAUCACCACCAACACAUCACCACCACCACCACCGACACAUCACCAUCACCGACAUCACCUUCACCACCAACACCAUCAACACCAUCACCACCGACAUCAUCACCACCACCACCACCGACACAUCACCAUCACCGACAUCACCUUCACCACCAACACCAUCAACACCAUCACCACCGACACCAUCACCACCAACACCAUCACCAUCAACACCGUCACCACCGACAUCAUCACCACCACCACCACCGACACAUCACCAUCACCGACAUCAUCACCACCAACACCACCGACACCACCGACAUCAUCACCACCAACACAUCACCACCAACACCACCGACACCACCGACAUCAUCACCACCGACACCAUCACCACCAACACCAUCACCAUCAACACCAUCACCACCGACAUCAUCACCACCAACACCACCGACACCAUCACCAUCACCACCAUCACCAUCAACACCACCAACACCACCGACAUCAUCACCACCAACACCAUCACCACCAUCACCAUCACCAUCAACACCACCAACACCACCGACAUCAUCACCACCAACACCAACACCACCGACACCAUCACCAUCGACACCAUCACCACCAACACCAACACCACCGACACCAUCACCAUCGACACCAUCACCACCGACAUCAUCACCACCAACACCAACACCACCGACAUCAAACUAUUUAUACUGCUGCAGGCUGCUGCCAUACUGCUGCCAGGCUGCUGCUAUACUGCUUCCAGGCUGCUGCCAGGCUGCUGCUAUACUGCUGCAGGCUGCUGCAGGCUGCUGCCAGGC